ACAGAACUGAAUGAUUCUUGCAUCCAGGCCACAGUUCACUGUUAGCUGCACUUAGCAUGUCAAACAAUUGUUGUGCUGCUACAUUUGGCGAUUCCUCCAUAUUAUCCCAAUCACAUUGUACUCUACUCGCAUCGAUUACCAUAUCAUUGCAUUGAUUACCAUACAGAAAUUGAUAAGGCUGAACUUCUAAACUUACCGGAAUGGAGUGGCCUGACCCACUGGCAACUCGAGCUUCACCAUGAUGUAUCCAUUCGUAAUAAUUUUC
rnacentral:lncRNA from 1 species